CCUACGGGGUGCAGCAGUGGGGAAUAUUGGACAAUGGGCGAAAGCCUGAUCCAGCAAUGCCGCGUGUGUGAAGAAGGUCUUCGGAUUGUAAAGCACUUUCGACGGGGACGAUGAUGACGGUACCCGUAGAAGAAGCCCCGGCUAACUUCGUGCCAGCAGCCGCGGUAAUACGAAGGGGGCUAGCGUUGCUCGGAAUGACUGGGCGUAAAGGGCGCGUAGGCGGUUUAUGCAGUCAGAUGUGAAAUCCCCGGGCUUAACCUGGGAACUGCAUUUGAGACGCAUAGACUAGAGGUCGAGAGAGGGUUGUGGAAUUCCCAGUGUAGAGGUGAAAUUCGUAGAUAUUGGGAAGAACACCGGUGGCGAAGGCGGCAACCUGGCUCAAUACUGACGCUGAGGCGCGAAAGCGUGGGGAACAAACAGGAUUAGAUACCCUCGUAGUC
rnacentral:rRNA from 1 species